UGAACAUCUAAAAACACAUGGAUUUCAAGAUCAGAGACAACAUGGGUUUACUUCAGGGAGAUCAUGCCAAACUAAUCUUAUUGAUUUUUUUGAUUGGGUAACUAAAAUUAUAGAUCAGGGUGGUGCAGUAGACAUUGCUUACCUAGAUUUCAGUAAGGCUUUUGACACUGUUGCACAUAGAAGGCUUAUCAAUAAACUGCAAUCUUUAAGUUUGGAUUCAAAUAUUGUUGAAUGGGUAAGGCAGUGGCUGAGUGACAGGCAACAGAGGGUUGUAGUUAAUGGAAUAUAUUCGAAGGUUGGACUUGUCACCAGUGGGGUACCUCAGGGAUCUGUACUUGGACCCAUUCUCUUUAAUAUUUUUAUUAGUGAUAUUGCAGAAGGUCUUGAUGGUAAGGUAUGUCUUUUUGCUGAUGAUACUAAGAUAUGUAACAGGGUUGAUGUUCCAGGAGGGAUAAGCCAAAUGACAAAUGAUUUAGGUAAACUAGAAAAAUGGUCAGAAUUGUGGCAACUGACAUUUAAUGUGGAUAAGUGCAAGAUAAUGCAUCUUGGACGUAAAAACCCAAGGGCAGAGUACAGAAUAUUUGAUAGAGUCCUAACCUCAACAUAUGAGGAAAGGGAUUUAGGGGUGAUUAUUUCUGAUGACUUAAAGGUAGGCAGACAAUGUAAC